GUGGUUCAAGCGUUAACAUUGAUUUUAAUAAGGAAUGUAAACGUACGUCUUCAUCUUGCAGACAGUAGAGGUGAUGUAAAUAGCAUUAGUAUUGGAUCUGGCACGGACAUAUAGGAUCACUCACUUGUGCAUGUUGAAAAAUCUAAUCUACCAGGAAAGGUGCAUUCGACUGUGAUUGGUGACAAUGUCACUGUUGGUCAUAGUGCUGUUUUACAUGGAUGCUCAGUUGAGGAUGAUACGUUUGUCGGGAUGAAAUUCGCAAGUUGGUUUAACAAUCAUAAGGUAAUAAUGUCAUU
rnacentral:lncRNA from 1 species